UUUGGUAAUGAUGGCGGAGGGGAACCACACGUUCCCAUCUCGAACACGACCGUUAAGCCCUCCAGCGCCAAGGGUACUUGAACCGCAGGGUUCUGGGAGAGUAGGACGUUGCCAAGC
rnacentral:rRNA from 1 species